rnacentral:rRNA from 1 species
CAGCUCAUAGCGUAUAUUAAGUUAGUUGCAGGUUAAAAAGCUCGUAGUUGGAUCUCAGUUCACGCUAAGUGGUCCACCUAAUGGUGGUUACUACUUAGCUGAGCAUUUUACAGAUUUGUCUCUUGAUGCUCUUCACCGAGUGUCAAGAGUGGUCUGUACGUUUACUUUGAAAAAAUUAGAGUGCUUAAAGCAGGCAACUCGCCCGAAUAAUCUUGCAUGGAAUAAUGGAAUAGGACCUUGGUUCUAUUUUGUUGGUCUCCGGAAUCUGAGGUAAUGAUUAAGAGGGACAGACGGGGGCAUUCGUAUUGCGCCGCUAGAGGUGAAAUUCUUGGACCGGCGCAAGACGAACUACAGCGAAAGCAUUUGCCAAGAAUGUUUUCAUUAAUCAAGAACGAAAGUUAGAGGUUCGAAGGCGAUCAGAUACCGCCCUAGUU